CCUUUUGUGGCUGUGACUGCCCGCCCCUACAACGCCCUUCUCUGUCUCCGUUUUCUUCCCAGUGCUCUGAACUUUUGGGCAAAUGUGUCAAGUGUGUACACAGACAAAGCCUCACUUCAAAGCUCGUGUUCAGGGCCCUUAAAGUCAUAGUUAUUGCAAAACUGCGGCCGUCUGGCGAACCUGCCUUAUGUAAGGGUGCUUGAACGUAUGAUUCACCAAACAUUUCCGCGGACAUCGCAAAGUUGUUGGAGCCAGAGUAGGAGAAAGACCACCCAUUUGAGAUCAUGGCUUGACAGGGAACACUCCCUCCUGCCACCAGAAUGGGACCAAUCUAGACAUCUCUUCUCUGGCUUCCUUGUGCCUGGCCUUUUUUGGAGGGUUGGGAUAGUGGCCUUUCUUCAUGCAUGGUGAGAUAACACCAACAUCGAAGGAAGAUCUUUGCCACAGAGGAUCCUAGUUCCAGCUCCCAGGUAUUGGCCCCAAUGCCUCCUAGCUUGUGGAUCGAGUUCCUGUGGAGGAAGCUAACACAGCGGUUCUCUGAAGUCUGGCAUCUGUUCUGCUCGGUUCUGUGUUCCAAGGGUCUGACCCUAAGCCUGGCCUCUUUAAAAAGCAAAACAAAAUGGAAGACGCCCGCCCUGGAGAUGAAUUCUGGGAAGUUAGUCUUUGGGAGAAAGGUCGCUCUCCAGGAAGAAUUUCUGAGCCAGGUGAAACAUUGCUUCAAUCACACAAGAAUGAAACAGCCUUCUGACAGCCCUACUACCACCACAACCUCCCUUCACAUGAGUGAACUUGGAACACAGGCUGGCCCUGUUUGGACCAUGCUCAUUCUGAGACCCACAGGCUCAUGGAUGAGCAACAAUGUUGUUAAAAGCAGCCAAUGGUGACUGUGGCCUUUUAACUUCUCAGCUGAGAAAGAAAAGACAGCGGGUGCCUUUAUACUGCAAAACAAAAGCUUCUUGAUGAAGAUUUUGUGCAAUGCAUUGUGACCAUACUUAAGGUGCAUCCAGUUAGACAUGCUCAGUUCUCAGUGACCCACCAAGAGGGACAUGACUGUAAAAUGAAACAACUCAAAAUACCUUGGAUGGAUGGAGCUCGGGGAAGAAGAACUCAGACACAGACAGCAGGGAAGGUCACUUAUGCCAAGAUGAAGUGUAAAUAUUUUAUCCAGGGGACGGCAGGGACAGGAUGGGCACAGGCGAGAAUGGUGUGUAUCCACGGCUCCACACAUACCUACUUCUAUCCAUGCAUGCAUGUUGGCAUAAAUGUUAUCAGAUUUCUUAAGAGUCUAAUUUUAAAGCCGCUACUGACACCUUUCUGUGGGGCAGGAUAAAAAAGAGUGGGCAUCGAGCCUGCAUUUUGAGAAGAAGCCUCUUUGCACCCCACAUUUAAGAUCCCUCUUGGCUGUGAAAGAAAACCAAAGAUACAAAACCACACAGAAGCAGAGCUUAAUGGAUGAUGGUAAGGAUGUUGGAUCAUAGCUGCCCUCUUCCCGCCUCAGGAACCACUCUUUUGGCAUAAAAUCAUUGCCUCCUUGCAUUCCCUUCUAGGUAGCCAUCUCAAUGUGUGGCCCUCAACACUGCAGGUUAACAUUGUCUCUUGGAAAUUGUCUGAUAUCCUAUCAAGUAAUUUCUAAUACUG
rnacentral:lncRNA from 1 species